rnacentral:lncRNA from 1 species
AUGGAAGUGAUGACUAUUUCCCCAGAUGAUCGAAGCUGAACUAACUGAGCUAUUUACAUCUCUGUUACACAGAGAUACCAAGCCAGGUGUUUCUGAUCCAUCUUCAUGUAAUAAUUUCAAAUCUGUAGAUUGGUUGACUAUUUGAUGUUUUCAUUGUUUGAGUGGUUUUAUGCGUGUUGUGAAAUGAAUGAAUGAAUCAGGUUAAUAAUUGUGAUAAGGAACGUAUUGCGUGAGCUUUAGGCUAUCCCCUGUCAAUAUAAGAG